rnacentral:rRNA from 1 species
UACGUAGGGUGCAAGCGUUAAUCGGAAUUACUGGGCGUAAAGCGUGCGCAGGCGGUUUUGUAAGACAGAGGUGAAAUCCCCGGGCUUAACCUGGGAAUGGCAUUUGGGACUGCAAGGCUUGAGUGCGGCAGAGGAGACUGGAAUUCCUGGUGUAGCAGUGAAAUGCGUAGAUAUCAGGAGGAAUACCGAUGGCGAAGGCAGGUCUCUGGGCUGACACUGACGCUCAUGCACGAAAGCGUGGGGAGCAAACAGG